GAUGAAGAACGCAGCGAAAUGUGAUAAGUAAUGUGAAUUGCAGAAUUCAGUGAAUCAUCGAAUCUUUGAACGCACAUUGCGCCCUCUGGUAUUCCGGGGGGCAUGCCUGUUCGAGCGUCAUUAUAACCACUCAAGCUCUCGCUUGGUAUUGGGGUUCGCGGUUCCGCGGCCCCUAAAAUCAGUGGCGGUGCCUGUCGGCUCUACGCGUAGUAAUACUCCUCGCGAUUGAGUCCGGUAGGUCUACUUGCCAGCAACCCCCAAUUUUUACAGGUUGACCUCGGAUCAGGUAGGGAUACCCGCUGAACUUAAGCAUAUCAAUAAGCGGAGGA
rnacentral:misc_RNA from 1 species